GGUGAAGGCCAACUAGAGUGUGUUGCUUCUGUGUGCUCAAGCCUAAUUAUGAUAAUGCAAGACACAGACAAGGGCAAUGCCACACUGUGCUAAUCACCUUUACACAUGAAUUACUCGAUGUGUAUGUUUUUCAUAAGAAAAUCUUCACAAAACCAAAUUGCCUACAAAGUUGAAAUCUGGCGUAAACAAAGGCAGCAGCUUUGGGACAGCUAAAAGCAAGAUGGAGUUCAGAAAAGCAGGCAACAACAAUUUGGCAAUCUUCAAGAAGAGCCAUUUGUGUGUUGUUUUCUGGAAGGAAGCAAGCAGGCAAGUGAAAAAUAUGCUGUUUGCUGCAAGAGGAAGACUUGGGCAAAGGAAGCAUGGAGGAGAAGCAUACAACCUGGGAUUUAUAUUUAGAAGAUGCAGUGAAUCCAGAUUCAAGCCCCUGCUUUUUAAUAUUUGAUAUAGAUGAAGCUCAUCCAUGCCACCACCUCGGCACCUUUCUGGAAACAAACUCACUGGGUAUAUUAGCUUGCUAGGGCUGCCUAACCUAGUAGUAUAGUAGACCUGGAGGCUUAAACAAGACAAAUGCAUGGUCUCACCCUUGGAGAGUGUGG
rnacentral:lncRNA from 1 species